CCUACUGGAGGCAGCAGUGGGGAAUAUUGGGCAAUGGGCGCAAGCCUGACCCAGCAACGCCGCGUGAAGGAAGAAGGCUUUCGGGUUGUAAACUUCUUUUGUCAGGGACGAAGCAAGUGACGGUACCUGACUAAUAAGCUACCGCUAACUACGGGCCAGCAGCCGCCGUAAUACGUAGGUGGCAAGCGUUAUCCGGAUUUACUGGGUGUAAAGGGCGUGUAGGCGGGACUGCAAGUCAGCUGUGAAAACCACGGGCUCAACCUGUGGCCUGCAUUUGAAACUGUAGUUCUUGAGUGCGGGAGAGGCAGGCGGAAUGCCUAGUGGAGCGGUGAAAUGCGUAGAUAUUAGGAGGAACACCAGUGGCGAAGGCGGUCUGCUGGACAGCAACUGACGCUGAGGCGCGAAAGCGUGGGGAGCAAACAGGAUUAGAUACCCCUGUAGUC
rnacentral:rRNA from 1 species